rnacentral:rRNA from 1 species
UACGUAGGGGGCUAGCGUUGCUCGGAAUCACUGGGCGUAAAGCGCACGUAGGCGGCUUGUUAAGUCAGGGGUGAAAUCCUGGAGCUCAACUCCAGAACUGCCUUUGAUACUGGCGAGCUUGAGUUCGGGAGAGGUGAGUGGAACUGCGAGUGUAGAGGUGAAAUUCGUAGAUAUUUGCAAGAACACCAGUGGCGAAGGCGGCUCACUGGCCCGAUACUGACGCUGAGGUGCGAAAGCGUGGGGAGCAAACAGG